CAAGAAUUAGACAUCUGAUCUUCAGAGCAUCAGUUCCGACACUGCCCACUCCUGUCCACCUUUCCUCUCCACACUCUUCUUGAGCUCGGAGGAUUGGCUGCACCUUACCACACAGCUGGAAAUGAUGGCCAAAACCUUCACACAUGGCGGGUGAUGUUUGGAACUCCACAUGCAGCUUGUGAUUCACUGUCUAUCACAAAGCUUUUGAUGGCUGGCUGGACUCCAGCAGGCAGCUUGUGAGGUUGACCACCCUUUACCACUUUCAAUCUUCUUCAGAAAGAAAGAGGCUUUGUUAUUCACCACUUGCCGAGUGAAAAAUGAAGAGUAAAAAACAAAGUCAUCCUUUUGAGAAACCCCUGGAGGAAUUCUGGCCCAGUAGUUACUUCUAAUGUGGCUGUUCCUUACAGGUUCCUCUCUGGAGAGUUCUCGGUCGUUAAGUAACUGAUCCUCUGCCCAUGAUUCUCAGGGAGAAACUGAGCUGUGACAGACCUCCACAUCUUACCCAGAUGCCAUGAAGAGGAACAUUUUCUUCAUGUUAAAAAGAUACCCAGAGAACACACCCAUCUGUCUGCUGCAAGAACAUGUACAAACUCCUUGUUUACCAGAAGAAUCUGAAGCGUUGCUGAGAACUAAAAUAUGCCAAGGAAAGAAAUAAAAGAAAAUUAUGACACAUUGUGUUUUUUAAGAGGUGUUUUUGGUGAAAGCAGAGAUUUGGGGUGUUUGACACCUAAAAGGCAUCUUCCAGUAUAUUCUAUCAAAAUGUUAAAACAACCUGCAGGAAGAUGGAUAUACUGUUCCUAUUGUGUGGAAAAGACAAUGUUGACUAUCACAAAGCAUUUGAUGUCUACUUCACAUUUUCCUCCAUUAGAUGACAUAUCCAGUGGUGUAGG